rnacentral:rRNA from 1 species
UACAGAGGGUGCAAGCGUUAAUCGGAAUUACUGGGCGUAAAGCGUGCGUAGGUGGACGUUUAAGUCGAAUGUGAAAGCCCCGGGCUCAACCUGGGAACUGCAUCCGAGACUGGACAUCUAGAGUAUGGUAGAGGAAAGUGGAAUUCCCGGUGUAGCGGUGAAAUGCGUAGAUAUCGGGAGGAACAUCAGUGGCGAAGGCGACUUUCUGGACCAAUACUGACGCUGAGGCACGAAAGCGUGGGGAGCAAACAGG